GAGUUUGAUCCUGGCUCAGGAUGAACGCUAGCGGUAGGCUUAACACAUGCAAGUCGAACGGUAACAUUCCCGCUUGCGGGAGAUGACGAGUGGCGAACGGGUGCGUAACACGUAUGCAACUUACCCUUUACUGGGGGAUAGCCCAGAGAAAUCUGGAUUAAUACCCCAUAAUAUCAUUUUUUCGCAUGAUUAGAUGAUUAAAACUCCGGUGGUAAAGGAUAGGCAUGCGGCCCAUUAGUUUGUUGGUAAGGUAACGGCUUACCAAGACUACGAUGGGUAGGGGGUCUGAGAGGAUGGUCCCCCACACUGGUACUGAGACACGGACCAGACUCCUACGGGAGGCAGCAGUGAGGAAUAUUGGGCAAUGGACGAAAGUCUGACCCAGCCAUACCGCGUGUAGGAAGAAUGCCCUAUGGGUUGUAAACUACUUUUAUAUGCCAAGAAACCCCUCUACGUGUAGAGGGCUGACGGUAGCAUACGAAUAAGCACCGGCUAACUCCGUGCCAGCAGCCGCGGUAAUACGGAGGGUGCAAGUGUUAUCCGGAUUUAUUGGGUUUAAAGGGUUCGUAGGCGGAUCAAUAAGUCAGUGGUGAAAGCCUGUGGCUCAACCAUAGAAUUGCCAUUGAAACUGUUGAUCUUGAGUACACUUGAAGUAGGCGGAAUAUGUCAUGUAGCGGUGAAAUGCAUAGAUAUGACAUAGAACACCNGAUUGUGAAGACAGCUUACUAAAUUGUAACUGACGCUGAGGAACGAAAGCGUGGGGAGCGAACAGGAUUAGAUACCCUGGUAGUCCACGCCGCAANCGAUGAUUACUCGAUAUUGGCGAUAUNAAUGUNCAGUGNUNCCAAGCGAAAGCAUUAAGUWAWMCACCUGGGGAGUACGUUCGCAAGAAUGAAACUCAAAGGAAUUGACGGGGGCCCGCACAAGCGGUGGAGCAUGUGGUUUAAUUCGAUGAUACGCGAGGAACCUUACCAGGGCUUAAAUGUAUUAUGACAAACUCAGAAAUGAGUCUUUCUUCGGACAUUUUACAAGGUGCUGCAUGGUUGUCGUCAGCUCGUGCCGUGAGGUGUCGGGUUAAGUCCCAUAACGAGCGCAACCCCUAUUCUUAGUUGCCAGCGAGUCAUGUCGGGGACUCUAAGAAAACUGCCAGUGUAAGCUGUGAGGAAGGUGGGGAUGACGUCAAAUCAUCACGGCCCUUACGUCCUGGGCUACACACGUGCUACAAUGGUAAGUACAGAGGGCUGCUACCUGGUGACAGGAUGCUAAUCUCUAAAGCUUACCCUAGUUCGGAUUGAAGUCUGCAACUCGACUUCAUGAAGCUGGAAUCGCUAGUAAUCGCAUAUCAGCCAUGAUGCGGUGAAUACGUUCCCGGGCCUUGUACACACCGCCCGUCAAGCCAUGGAAGCUGGGGGUGCCUGAAGUCGGUAACCGAAAGGAGCUGCCUAGGGCAAAACUAGUAACUGGGGCUAAGUCGUAACAAGGUAAC
rnacentral:rRNA from 1 species